CCUGCCAGGGCGGUGCGGCGCUGGCGUCUCCGCCGCUCUUGUGUAGUCUGCGUAAUAAGCGGGAUACGAAAAGCACUCGCAGUUUCUUUACCCGCCGCUCUGCUGGCCUGGGCGGCGGCUGCUGGACGGCACGCGAGGGACCUGCGGGGAGGGAAGCGGGGCUCCAGGCCCCAGCCAGUUUCUGCAGUCUCCCUCGCCCCGGGCCAGAUCCUGCUUUAGGGCCCUGCCCUCCUCCAAGGCUCCACCCCGCCGCCCCUUGAAGUGUGACCACGUCUCCUUCAGGAUACUGUCCCCAGAUCUGCCCCAGCCAUGCCACCCGGGCACGCUCAGUACCUCCGUCGAGAAAUUUGCGAACACACAGCGAAGUGCCACACAGCUGUGUCCUCACCACCGACGGUCCGUUUACUUCGGGAUGGACUAUCGCCUCCUCGCAUCUGGGCCGCCCUCCGUUCAUCUCAGAGUCCGCGGCAGCCGUCGGGGCAUGCUUUCCCUGCCUCCUUCAGCAUGUUCCUCAUUACUUACAGGUCAUCACUGACGACAUUCUUCUUUGAAUGUAAAGCGGUGAAAGGCCCUGCUGCGAACAUUUGCAGGGUUUUGACAAAGGGGUGCAUUUUGGUAACCCAGAUGCUUAUCGAGCUGUUGUGUGUUCCCUUCACCCCAGAAAGUUCCCUCAAGCUCUUUCUGGUCAACUCCCAGUCCACUCAGAGGCAAGGGUAUCCUGCCUAGUGAUACUGGAUCUAAAGCAAAGGAAAAAAUAUUCUUUAAUGGUUAAUUUUUUCCCGGAACACUUGAUGAGGGGAAAACCCAUUGAAAAGUGAAAAGCAGAUAUAUUAAAACUCAAAAUAUUUUAA